ACAGCCUCAUAGGAUUAAUUAGCAGGGUACUGUUCAUGGUAAUUUUGAGCACAAACUAUCCUGUCUGAUUUCUUUUUUUCUUUUUUUCUCUGCACAACCCUCCCCGUUUGAUUUCUUUCCUGCAACUUCCUGCUAGUUGCCAUUUUGGAGCUGCAGAUCACGUUUGUGAAGUUUUAAUUCAUAGGAGACAACAACUUUUGACAGCUGCAAAAUGCCAUGAAGAGAAGAACCUCACCAUCAUCUAAUGGCCGGGAUUUUAUCCCUAACAUAGAUGGAUGGGAUGAUGAGUUUAUGUUGGAAAGAAAUCACUAGAAUCAGCACAUAGUCAAUGAGAAUAUUGUAGUUUCCUCGUUUGCAUUAUUUGGCUGCAAAUCAGCUGGGAUUUGCAUCCUAGAUUAAUGCAUUGAAUCUUUCCUAAAUAGAGAUAUAUUAGGCUAUAUAUAAGCCCCCUCUACUGACCUAGAGGAAAACAAAAGGAAAAGAAAUAAAGGGGAGGAGAAAAAUAAAGAGAGUAGAGGGAGACUGAGAGAGUUUAAACACAGAGAGGAAAAGAAGAGAGAUAGAGGAGAAAAGGAAAAACAGAGAGAACAAGGAGGAGGCCGAGGGUAGGAGAAAUAGAGAAACAACGAGAACGAGAAGAGAUUAUCUUGAGAGUUAAGUCUAUCCUACCUUGCCGAACAGGGAUUUGCAAAAACUCUAAGAGGUUUUUUGAAAAAGCUCCUAACGGCAAAAAGAGGAAGGCUUUCUUUGGUUAUUAUAAGUAAAAAGGCAGAAGCUUUUCCAUCGGUUUAUAUUUCAUUUUCUGCAUUCAAAACGUGCAGGAUCCGCAGGUCUUCAUUAUUCCUCCAUUUCGUUGUUCGAAUGUCUCUCUGCUUUAGAUUGUUGCAUAGGAUGAGUUUGGCUCCUAAAUAAAGCUCUGUCCAGAGGGAAAAGAAACAAAUGAGAGAAGGUCCUCUUUAGUUUGAGGUGAUAUUUCGGCUGGUUCUGGAGCCAUGUUUUCCUUCCGGUUCUUUUAAAGUGAGAUAGCUGGCCAUUUGAUUUGUUGGUUCUUGUUCUAGUGUCUUUGAUAUACAUGGUAUAAAAGCACACUCUUUAAGUUAUUUCCUUUUUGUAUGAAACAACCAUGAAAGUGUUAGAGAUUAAAAAAGGGUGCGCGUGAGCAACGGUUUCUGUUAUGGGAUUGGGUUCAAAACUUUAGCUUUCUUGUGUAUGCGAACUUCCUCCUUUCUGUUGAAAGCGAUGGGCCAAGCUAGGUUUACGCUCUAAGCUUAAGUUGAUGGACUGGAUUUUGUUUGACGAGUUAGCUUUGGAGGGCCAUUUUUCGGGUUUCUGCCCUUUUUGUUUUAUAUGAACUGUUUAUUUUUUUA